AUUGAACGCUGGCGGCAUGCCUUACACAUGCAAGUCGAACGGCAGCGGACCUUCGGGUGCCGGCGAGUGGCGAACGGGUGAGUAAUGUAUCGGAACGUACCUUUCAGUGGGGGAUAACUAUCCGAAAGGAUAGCUAAUACCGCAUAUUCUGUGAGCAGGAAAGCAGGGGAUCGCAAGACCUUGCGCUGAUUGAGCGGCCGAUAUCAGAUUAGCUAGUUGGUGGGGUAAAAGCUCACCAAGGCGACGAUCUGUAGCGGGUCUGAGAGGAUGAUCCGCCACACUGGAACUGAGACACGGUCCAGACUCCUACGGGAGGCAGCAGUGGGGAAUUUUGGACAAUGGGCGCAAGCCUGAUCCAGCCAUGCCGCGUGAGUGAAGAAGGCCUUCGGGUUGUAAAGCUCUUUCGGCCGGGAAGAAAUCGCAUAGGUUAAUACCCUGUGUGGAUGACGGUACCGGAAUAAGAAGCACCGGCUAACUACGUGCCAGCAGCCGCAGUAA
rnacentral:rRNA from 1 species